rnacentral:rRNA from 1 species
UCCUGACUGACCGAUAGUGAACCAGUACCGUGAGGGAAAGGCGAAAAGAACCCCGGCGAGGGGAGUGAAAAAGAACCUGAAACCGUGUACGUACAAGCAGUGGGAGCACGCUUAGGCGUGUGACUGCGUACCUUUUGUAUAAUGGGUCAGCGACUUAUAUUCUGUAGCAAGGUUAACCGAAUAGGGGAGCCGAAGGGAAACCGAGUCUUAACUGGGCGUUAAGUUGCAGGGUAUAGACCCGAAACCCGGUGAUCUAGCCAUGGGCAGGUUGAAGGUUGGGUAACACUAACUGGAGGACCGAACCGACUAAUGUUGAAAAAUUAGCGGAUGACUUGUGGCUGGGGGUGAAAGGCCAAUCAAACCGGGAGAUAGCUGGUUCUCCCCGAAAGCUAUUUAGGUAGCGCCUCGUGAAUUCAUCUCCGGGGGUAGAGCACUGUUUCGGCAAGGGGGUCAUCCCGACUUACCAACCCGAUGCAAACUGCGAAUACCGGAGAAUGUUAUCACGGGAGACACACGGCGGGUGCUAACGUCCGUCGUGAAGAGGGAAACAACCCAGACCGCCAGCUAAGGUCCCAAAGUCAUGGUUAAGUGGGAAACGAUGUGGGAAGGCCCAGACAGCCAGGAUGUUGGCUUAGAAGCAGCCAUCAUUUAAAGAAAGCGUAAUAGCUCACUGGUCGAGUCGGCCUGCGCGGAAGAUGUAACGGGGCUAAACCAUGCACCGAAGCUGCGGCAGCGACGCUU